GAUGAACGCUGGCGGCGUGCCUAAUACAUGCCAGUCGAGCGAACGGACGAGAAGCUUGCUUCUCUGAUGUUAGCGGCGGACGGGUGAGUAACACGUGGAUAACCUACCUAUAAGAAUGGGAUAACUUCGGGAAACCGGAGCUAAUACCGGAUAAUAUUUUGAACCGCAUGGUUCAAAAGUGAAAGACGGUCUUGCUGUCACUUAUAGAUGGAUCCUCGCUGCAUUAGCUAUUUGGUAGGGUAACGGCUUACCAAGGCAACGAUGCGUAGCGGACCUGAGAGGAUGAUCAGCAACACUGGAACUGAGACACGGUCCAGACUCCUAGGGGAGGCAGCAGUGGGGAAUAUUGGACAAUGGGCGAAAGCCUGAGGCAGCAAUGCCGCGUGUGUGAAGAAGGUCUUCGGAUUGUAAAGCUCUUUAAGUGGGGAGGAAGAGAAGUAAAUUAAUAAUUUGCUGUUUUGACGUUACCGAAAGAAAAAGCACCGGCUAACUACGUG
rnacentral:rRNA from 1 species